GAGUGUUCUUGUAGCGUGUUCGUGGCACGCCCGUGAAUAAAGUCCGUCGCGAGGCGGGAUUAGCGAUCGAUCGUGCAGAACCGGACCGCCCGGCUGGUUCAUCGGGAGCAUGUCGACGACCAGCAAAUGGGAUUUGUCCCGGGAGGACAUAAAAGCCGCUGCCACGGACGAAAAGGAGCUGCUGCUGGAGCACGACAGCGAUCAGGAUGAAAAUAUGCUGUUCAAUCGACCGAGCACGUCUUCGGGAGAGACUCAGGCGGAUGGAAAGAUGGAUAGCGUUAGGUUACAAAUUCAGGAAGUGACGGAGGUGAUGCGAGAGAACGUUCAGAAGGUAUUGGAGCGAGAAGAGAGGCUAGAGGAUCUACAGGAAGCUAGCGAACGUUUGAACAUGGCUGGAAACGAAUUCAGAUCGACGGCGAAGAAAGCUCAGCAAAGGGCGUGGCUUCAGAACUUCCGAACGAGGAUUAUUCUCGUUACUAUGGCGGUGACAAUUGUCAUCUGCAUCAUUGUUCUGGACAUCACGGUGCUUUACCUGGUUCUCAGAUAGCAAACACGGUGUAGCGAGCUUCGAUCGUUCGAUUCCAGGCCGGAUAUCGCCUGUUCUUCGAAGUCAUCGCGAAAUUGACCGCAUCCUAACACAUCUCGAAACUAUCCAUCGCCGUGAAAUACUCGUGACCGAGGCCCCC
rnacentral:misc_RNA from 1 species